GACGAACGCUGGCGGCGUGCCUAAUACAUGCAAGUCGAACGCACUGGGGACGGGUGAGUAACACGUGGCUAACCUCCCCAUCAGAGGGGAUAACACUUGGCAACAGGUGCUAAACCGAUACUGAUGGAUGGACCCGCGGUGCAUUAGCUAGUUGGUGAGGUAACGGCUCACCAAGGCCACGAUGCAUAGCCGGCCGUAGAGGGUGAUCGGCCACACGGGGACUGAGACACGGCCCAGACUCCUACGGGAGGCAGCAGUAGGGAAUUUUCGGCAAUGGACGAAAGUCUGACCGAGCAACGCCGCGUGAGUGAAGAAGGGUUUCGGAUCGUAAAACUCUUUUGGUAGAGAAGCGGUAUCUAACCAGAAAGCAACGGCUAACUACGUGCCAGCAGCCGCGGUAAUUC
rnacentral:rRNA from 1 species